CGGGGGGAUCUACCCCUCUCUACGGAACAACUCCGGGAAACUGGAGCUAAUACCGUAUACGUCCUUUUGGAGAAAGAUUUAUCGGAGAUGGAUGAGCCCGCGUUGGAUUAGCUAGUUGGUGGGGUAAUGGCCUACCAAGGCGACGAUCCAUAGCUGGUCUGAGAGGAUGAUCAGCCACACUGGGACUGAGACACGGCCCAGACUCCUACGGGAGGCAGCAGUGGGGAAUAUUGGACAAUGGGCGCAAGCCUGAUCCAGCCAUGCCGCGUGAGUGAUGAAGGCCCUAGGGUUGUAAAGCUCUUUCAACGGUGAAGAUAAUGACGGUAACCGUAGAAGAAGCCCCGGCUAACUUCGUGCCAGCAGCCGCGGUAAUACGAAGGGGGCUAGCGUUGUUCGGAAUUACUGGGCGUAAAGCGCACGUAGGCGGAUACUUAAGUCAGGGGUGAAAUCCCGGGGCUCAACCCCGGAACUGCCUUUGAUACUGGGUAUCUCGAGUCCGGAAGAGGUGAGUGGAAUUCCGAGUGUAGAGGUGAAAUUCGUAGA
rnacentral:rRNA from 1 species